UACGUAGGGACCGAGCGUUGUCCGGAAUCAUUGGGCGUAAAGAGCGUGUAGGCGGCCACUUAAGUCCUGCGUGAAAUCUUGCGGCUCAACCGCAAGCGGUCGUGGAAACUGGUGGCUAGAGUGCGGAGAGGAGAGUGGAAUUCCUGUGUAGCGGUGGAAUGCGCAGAUAUCAGGAAGAACACCGUGGCGAGCGCUCUCUGAACGCAACUGACGCUGAGACGCGAAGCGUGGGAGCAACAGG
rnacentral:rRNA from 1 species